ensembl:lncRNA
ACAACACCAGCAGCACACAGCAGGACUUCAGAAACCACCAGAUGAAGGAAGGAGCCUCUACCAGCUGUGGGAGACUCCAUUAUGCAGCCUCAAGCCCAAUCACCUGGGCAGCCUGGUGUGUCCUCCCAAGAUGCGGCCCUGGAAACCUCAGUCUGCCCCAACAAAGAGAGAGCCUCCGCCGCCAGGUCUUUACGGAGGAGGGGGAAGGAGGCAUAUCAUUACUCAUGUUUUCCAGGUAGAGAAAUGUGCAAGUCAUAAAGCUGUCAACAGGAGAGCUGAGAUGUGGACCCAGGCAGACUGGCUACAGUGCUCAAGCCCUAACCACUGCACACACUGCCUCCCAUCAGCAAAAGCAGUGUGGCUGGACCUCUGAUGCCUGCGGGGAGGGGCCGGAGCUGCAUAUGAAGAGGAAGAGGCGCCAGAGCCUGCAGGACCUUGCCAGAUGCAUAGAAGAGUCUGAGUUUGUACUAAUAUUAGUGGGGAACCACUGAAGGUCUUAAGCAGGAAAAUGGGACUUCUCGGGUGGUGUUAGUGGUAAAGAACCCACCUUCCAGUGCGGGAGACACAAGAGAUGCGGGUUCAAUCCCUGGGUUUGGGAAGAUCCCCUGGAGGAGGGCAUGGCAAUCCAGUAUUGUUGCCUGGAGAAUCCCAUGGACAGCGGAGCCUGGCAGGCUACGGUCCAUACAGUCUCAAAGUGUCAGACACAACUGAAGUGACUUAGCACACAUGCACACAAGCGGGAAAAUAACAUGAGCAGAUCUGUGUCACAGAAUGGUCCCUCCAGAGACUGAAAGAGAACGGAUUGGAGGAGGUAAAGCCACAGAUGGGAGAUGAGUCAGCAAGUUAGUGCAAGGGGUCAGAUGAAGGCUUGUUGGGAGAACAGGGAAUGCUUGCAAGGAGAAGUCAAGGAGUGUCAGUCCACAGCCAUUCAAUAUGAUUUUGAAGAUUAAUCAAGCAACUUGGAAAAAUUCUUACCAAAAAAGCUUAAUUUUAAGCUUCGUUUAGAAUAAAGAGAAUUCAAAAUCG